rnacentral:rRNA from 1 species
UAGUGGCGAACGGGUGAGUAACACGUGGGCAAUCUGCCCUUCACUCUGGGACAAGCCCUGGAAACGGGGUCUAAUACCGGAUAAUACCUGCCUGGGCAUCUGGGUGGGUUGAAAGCUCCGGCGGUGAAGGAUGAGCCCGCGGCCUAUCAGCUUGUUGGUGAGGUAGUGGCUCACCAAGGCGACGACGGGUAGCCGGCCUGAGAGGGCGACCGGCCACACUGGGACUGAGACACGGCCCAGACUCCUACGGGAGGCAGCAGUGGGGAAUAUUGCACAAUGGGCGAAAGCCUGAUGCAGCGACGCCGCGUGAGGGAUGACGGCCUUCGGGUUGUAAACCUCUUUCAGCAGGGAAGAAGCGAAAGUGACGGUACCUGCAGAAGAAGCGCCGGCUAACUACGUGCCAGCAGCCGCGGUAAUACGUAGGGCGCAAGCGUUGUCCGGAAUUAUUGGGCGUAAAGAGCUCGUAGGCGGCUUGUCACGUCGGUUGUGAAANCCCGGGGCUUAACCCCGGGUCUGCAGUCGAUACGGGCAGGCUAGAGUGUGGUAGGGGAGAUCGGANUCCU